rnacentral:rRNA from 1 species
UCCGUAGGUGAACCUGCGGAAGGAUCAUUAUUGAAUAAAUCUGAUCAGUUGUAGCUGGCUCUUCGGAGCAUGUGCACAUUGAUCACCUUUAUCUUUCCACCUGUGAACACACUGUAGUCCUGGAUACCUCUCGCCGCAAGGCGGAUGCGUGGUUUGCUGUGCUAGCUCGCAAGAGUCGGUCGGCUUACUACGAAUUUCCAGGUCUAUGAUUUAUACAAACCCCAAACGUAUGUUAUAGAAUGUCAUCAUUGGGCCUUGUGCCUAUAAACCUAUACAACUUUCAGCAACGGAUCUCUUGGCUCUCGCAUCGAUGAAGAACGCAGCGAAUUGCGAUAUGUAAUGUGAAUUGCAGAUUUUCAGUGAAUCAUCGAAUCUUUGAACGCAUCUUGCGCUCCUUGGUAUUCCGAGGAGCAUGCCUGUUUGAGUGUCAUUAAAUUCUCAACUCUCUUUGAUUUCUUCAAAUGUGAGCUUGGAGUUUGGGGGUAUGCUGGCUGCAAAGUCAGCUCCUCUUAAAUGCAUUGGCAAAGGCAUGUGCAUGAAUUGGCCUUUCGGUGUGAUAAUGAUCACCGUGGCUGGAUUGCUAUAAUGCUUGUGCCUUACCUUUUUCCAUUACAUGGAAAAUAUUACUUGACUAUUUGACCUCAAAUCAGGUAGGACUACCCGCUGAACUUAAGCAUAUCAAUAAGCGGAGGAAAAGAAACUAACAAGGAUUCCCCUAGUAACUGCGAGUGAAGCGGGAAAAGCUCAAAUUUUGAAUCUGGCAGUCUCUGGCUGUCCGAGUUGUAAUCUAGAGAAGUACUUUCCGUGCUGGACCGUGUACAAGUCUCCUGGAACGGAGCGUCAUAGAGGGUGAGAAUCCCGUCUCUGACACGGACCCCCAGUGCUCUGUGAUGUGCUCUCAACGAGUCGAGUUGUUUGGGAAUGCAGCUCAAAUUGGGUGGUAAAUUCCAUCUAAAGCUAAAUACAGGCGAGAGACCGAUAGCGAACAAGUACCGUGAGGGAAAGAUGAAAAGAACUUCGGAAAGAGAGUUAAACAGUACGUGAAAUUGCUGAAAGGGAAACGCUUGAAGU